rnacentral:rRNA from 1 species
AUCCAGCCAUGCCGCGUGUGUGAAGAAGGUCUUCGGAUUGUAAAGCACUUUAAGUUGGGAGGAAGGGCAGUAAAUUAAUACUUUGCUGUUUUGACGUUACCGACAGAAUAAGCACCGGCUAACUUCGUGCCAGCAGCCGCGGUAAUACGAAGGGUGCAAGCGUUAAUCGGAAUUACUGGGCGUAAAGCGCGCGUAGGUGGUUCAGUAAGAUGGAAGUGAAAGCCCCGGGCUCAACCUGGGAACUGCUUUCAUAACUGCUGAGCUAGAGUACGGUAGAGGGUAGUGGAAUUUCCUGUGUAGCGGUGAAAUGCGUAGAUAUAGGAAGGAACACCAGUGGCGAAGGCGACUACCUGGACUGAUACUGACACUGAGGUGCGAAAGCGUGGGGAGCAAACAGGAUUAGAUACCCUG